UAACUACUCCCUCCGUCCCAAAAUUCUUGUCUUAGAUUUGUCUAGAUAUCUAAUACUAAAACGUGACUUGAUACAUCCGUAUUUAGACAAAUAUAAGACAAGAAUUUUGAGACGGAGGAAGUAUGUC
rfam:Triticum aestivum genome assembly, contig: Triticum_aestivum_CS42_TGACv1_scaffold_606166_7DL